AGAAGAACCUAUGGGCACAAAAAGCAGGAACGAGUAGCGGUGGCUGAAGAACGAGCAGGAGCUUGAAUUUCAGUUUUCUUAUGAGGAAUUUUCCAGAAAAGAUAUCUUCACUGUGAAAUAACUAAAUAAAUGCCCACUCAGUACAGUCACUGUCUCCCUUUUGGAACUUGAUGGCACCUUAAGCCCAGGUUUGCCUCCACUCUAGAAACUCAUCAGAGUGAUGCCCUUCUCAAAUGGGGGAGGUCCCAAAGCGGAUAUCCUGGCAGUGUGAAAGGCCGGCUAAAGACAAAAAUACCUGCUACAUGCUUCCUUCUGUAUGAAUACAUGAGACCUACCUUCAUUCAUGUUUCCUCUAUGAAGCUUUCCCUGCACUCCAAACACAGAGCUGAGACUUCCACCUAAUGUAGAAAGCUAGCACGAGCCGGCGCUGACAGAUGGAAGACUUGAGAUGUUACAAGAUUAUAUAUGGAAACACAAAAGGAGAUACCGGAGCCAUGACAGACUGUGAUGGGGCUGGUGGACAGUUCAGCAAGACAUUGAUAUUGUCCAUUGGCGCUCAGUUCAUCUGUAAUGACACAUUCAAGGAUGACGAUUAAUGUCCAAUAUGUAUAAAGUGGAUCCCUUUGUAAAAACAA
rnacentral:lncRNA from 1 species